rnacentral:rRNA from 1 species
UACGGGGGGGGGCAAGCGUUGUUCGGAAUUACUGGGCGUAAAGGGCUCGUAGGCGGCCAACUAAGUCAGACGUGAAAUCCCUCGGCUUAACCGGGGAACUGCGUCUGAUACUGGAUGGCCUGAGUUUGGGAGAGGGAUGCGGAAUUCCAGGUGUAGCGGUGAAAUGCGUAGAUAUCUGGAGGAACACCGGUGGCGAAGGCGGCAUCCUGGACCAACACUGACGCUGAGUGAGCGAAAGCCAGGGGAGCAAACGGG